AACGAACGCUGGCGGCAGGCCUAACACAUGCAAGUCGAACGCUCCGCAAGGGGGAGUGGCGCACGGGUGAGUAACACGUGGGAACCUACCUUCUGGUACGGAACAACCAAGGGAAACUUUGGCUAAGACCGUAUACGACCUCCGGGUGAAAGAUUGAUCGCCGGAAGAGGGGCCCGCGUCCGAUUAGGUAGUUGGUGAGGUAACGGCUCACCAAGCCUUCGAUCGGUAGCUGGUCUGAGAGGAUGACCAGCCACACUGGGACUGAGACACGGCCCAGACUCCUACGGGAGGCAGCAGUGGGGAAUAUUGGACAAUGGGCGCAAGCCUGAUCCAGCCAUGCCGCGUGAGUGACGAAGGUCUUCGGAUUGUAAAACUC
rnacentral:rRNA from 1 species